rnacentral:rRNA from 1 species
AGAGUUUGAUCAUGGCUCAGAAUCAACGCUGGCGGCGCGCUUGACACAUGCAAGUCGCACGAGAAAGGGAGCAAUCCUGAGUAAAGUGGCGUACGGGUGAGUAACACGUGGAUCAUCUACCUUUUAGUGGGGAAUACCCCUGGGAAACUGGGGACAAUACCGCAUAAGCUCGUGAGAGGAAAGCAGCAAUGCGCUGAAAGAGGAGUCCGCGGCUGAUUAGCUAGUUGGUGAGGUAACGGCCCACCAAGGCGAAGAUCGGUAGCCGGCCUGAGAGGGCACACGGCCACACUGGCACUGAAACACGGGCCAGACUCCUACGGGAGGCAGCAGUGGGGAAUCUUGCACAAUGGAGGAAACUCUGAUGCAGCGACGCCGCGUGAGCGAUGAAGCCCUUCGGGGUGUAAAGCUCUUUCGACGGGAACGAUAAUGACGGUACCCGAAGAAGAAGCUGCGGCUAACUACGUGCCAGCAGCCGCGGUAAUACGUAGGCAGCAAGCGUUGUUCGGAAUUACUGGGCGUAAAGAGUGUGUAGGCGGUGCACUAAGUCUGUCGUGAAAUCUCCCGGCUUAACUGGGAGGGUGCGGCGGAAACUGGUGUGCUUGAGGAUGGGAGAGGUAAGCGGAAUUCCUGGUGUAGCGGUGAAAUGCGUAGAUAUCAGGAGGAACACCUGGUGUAGACAGCUUACUGGACCAUUUCUGACGCUGAGACACGAAAGCGUGGGUAGCAAACAGGAUUAGAUACCCUAGUAGUCC